rnacentral:rRNA from 1 species
CGGGUGAGUAACACGUGGAUAACCUACCUAUAAGACUGGGAUAACUUCGGGAAACCGGAGCUAAUACCGGAUAAUAUUUUGAACCGCAUGGUUCAAAAGUGAAAGACGGUCUUGCUGUCACUUAUAGAUGGAUCCGCGCCGCAUUAGCUAGUUGGUAAGGUAACGGCUUACCAAGGCAACGAUGCAUAGCCGACCUGAGAGGGUGAUCGGCCACACUGGAACUGAGACACGGUCCAG